AUUGAACGCUGGCGGCAUGCCUUACACAUGCAAGUCGAACGGCAGCACGGGAGCAAUCCUGGUGGCGAGUGGCGAACGGGUGAGUAAUAUAUCGGAACGUGCCCAGUCGUGGGGAUAACGUAGCGAAAGCUACGCUAAUACCGCAUACGAUCUAUGGAUGAAAGCGGGGGAUCGCAAGACCUCGCGCGAUUGGAGCGGCCGAUAUCAGAUUAGGUAGUUGGUGAGGUAAAGGGCUCACCAAGCCGACGAUCUGUAGCUGGUCUGAGAGGACGACCAGCCACACUGGGACUGAGACACGGCCCAGACUCCUACGGGAGGCAGCAGUGGGGAAUUUUGGACAAUGGGCGCAAGCCUGAUCCAGCAAUGCCGCGUGCAGGAUG
rnacentral:rRNA from 1 species